AUUGAACGCUGGCGGCAGGCCUAACACAUGCAAGUCGAGCGGGGUUUUCGGACCUAGCGGCGGACGGGUGAGUAAUGCGUAGGAAGCUACCCGAUAGAGGGGGAUACCAGUUGGAAACGACUGUUAAUACCGCAUAAUGUCUACGGACCAAAGUGUGGGACCUUCCGGCCACAUGCUAUCGGAUGCGCCUACGUGGGAUUAGCUAGUUGGUGAGGUAAUGGCUAACCAAGGCGACGAUCCCUAGCUGGUUUGAGAGGAAGAUCAGCCACACUGGAACUGGGACACGGUCCAGACUCCUACGGGAGGCAGCAGUGGGGAAUAUUGGACAAUGGGCGCAAGCCUGAUCCAGCCAUGCCGCGUGUGUGAAGAAGGCCUUCGGGUUGUAAAGCACUUUCAGUAGGGAGGAAGGGUUAAGUGUUAAUAGUACUUAACUUUGACGUUACCUACAGAAGAAGCACCGGCUAACUCUGUGCCAGCCGCCGCCGUAAUAC
rnacentral:rRNA from 1 species